UACGAAGGGGGCUAGCGUUAAUCGGAAUUACUGGGCGUAAAGCGUGCGCAGGCGGUUUUGUAAGCCAGAUGUGAAAGCCCCGGGCUUAACCUGGGAAUGGCAUUUGGGACUGCAAGGCUAGAGUGUGGCAGAGGAGACUGGAAUUCCUGGUGUAGCAGUGAAAUGCGUAGAUAUCAGGAGGAAGACCGAUGGCGAAGGCAGGUCUCUGGGUUAACACUGACGCUCAUGCACGGAAGCGUGGGGAGCAAACAGG
rnacentral:rRNA from 1 species